rnacentral:tmRNA from 1 species
GGGGCUGUAUGGUAUUCGACAUUACAAUUCAGGAAUGUGACAGUAAUAUAAACUAUAUUACACAAAUCUAUGUUUAAUUUAACAAUUAAAUGCUAACAAUAUUGUACCAUUACCUCAGAAAGCUAUUAUCGUAUAAAUAAAUACUUUAUAGACAGUAGACUUUUUGAUUUCAUAUAAUAAUUAAUUUUAUAAGUUAUAUGAAAAAGAACAUGUAAAAAUGCUCUUAUUUAAGCUAAAAUAGGAUAAGAUACAAAGCCAAAUUAUUUCCCAUAAGGUUGUCAUAAUAUAUAAAUUGUAAUGCACGUGGGUUCAAUUCCCACCAGCUCCA